rnacentral:misc_RNA from 1 species
AAAUCACUAUCUAUUCACAACUAAUAAUCAUUUUUGCUGUGACAUAACCCUUUUAGCUCCACCCAGUUGACUAAACGUUGCAUCUACGAUUAAGGCGUGACAUCAACCAUGUACUGACCGCCAUCGUAAAGUUUACGCAGCAUCAUAUCAUGCUUAAAGCUUUCGCAGUUCGCGAUUUUGUCAGAAUGCUAAGUGACUCUCAUAUCUAACGGAUGCGCUUUUACAAGGAAAGACGAUAAACUGGUCGGUGGUAAUACAUCUACGACAAAACUCUGACCAGCAAAUGAGUUUGUGGACAACUAGGUUGCAGCCUACAGGACAUGUAAUGGUAUGUAAGUACAAUGGGGACAAUGAUUUCUAUCAGACCACUCGAAUAUAAAGGAACUUGCACAUGACAGAAAAUUCCGAUCACGAUGAAACUACAAUAGCGUGUUUGGAUGUGCUAGUAAUCAUGAUAUCACGGCUAUCAAUUUCAGCAUAUAAAAGUUAUCGGCAUUGUGUCAACCUGCUCCUGUGGCCAACCAGCCUCGGUCUCACCUCCACAGAUGAAAUCGUACACCUACUGAGGACGUUUUGGGAUGACUUAGUGAUGUUUCCUGUUGAGACCAUUUCCAGAGUAUUAGUGAAUUCUUUCGGCCAUACACCUUGAGAAAACUUGACAAGACAGCAGGCUAAGGUAAGGGGGGAAAAAGGCCAUCCCAUCUUUCUACCAUAACCCAUUGAAAAGAAAACAAUCAAAACAGAUUUGAUGAAAAUACAAUUCAGAUUUUGGAAAUCACUAAUUAAUGAAAUACUGCCUUAUUGAUCAAAUUAAGAUUGUAUUUUGUGUUUUGCAUACUUCAAUAUUGGUUCAACGAUUAU